rnacentral:rRNA from 1 species
GCCAUGCCGCGUGCAGNNNGACGGUCCUAUGGAUUGUAAACUGCUUUUGUACAGGAAGAAACACUCCGACGUGUCGGAGCUUGACGGUACUGUAAGAAUAAGGAUCGGCUAACUCCGUGCCAGCAGCCGCGGUAAUACGGAGGAUCCGAGCGUUAUCCGGAAUCAUUGGGUUUAAAGGGUCCGUAGGCGGUUUAGUAAGUCAGUGGUGAAAGCCCAUCGCUCAACGGUGGAACGGCCAUUGAUACUGCUAGACUUGAAUUAUUAGGAAGUAACUAGAAUAUGUAGUGUAGCGGUGAAAUGCUUAGAGAUUACAUGGAAUACCAAUUGCGAAGGCAGGUUACUACUAAUUGAUUGACGCUGAUGGACGAAAGCGUGGGUAGGGAACAGGAUUAGAUACCCUGGUAGUCCACGCCGUAGACGAUGGAUACUAGCUGUUGGGAGCAAUUUCAGUGGCUAAGCGAAAGUGAUAAGUAU